UACAUCUGUCCUCUCUUCCCUCCCCUCACGUCAGUUCCCAGCACAGACUGUGUAGAAGAGUGAGUCUAACUAGCUCUCCUACUUGAGAUAAAAUAAUGAGAUGCUACAUCGUAGGAUCUGUCUCUGAGUCCACAUUGCGGGAGAAAAGACCAUUCUUCGGAAAGAUGCAGAGGAAGCCCCGUACCUCCCUCAAGGGAUUGAGAUGGGAGACUGAGGGAAUCCUGGGGUCUCUGCCCUCUCCCUCACUGGGAAACAAGCUCUGUUUCUUCAUGUGCCGGAGCCCUGCCUCUGUGGGUGCAGCCUGAGGACAAAGGCAGUGCUGCAUCCCCUGAUCCCCUACCCCCUACAACCUCCUGCCCAGCCUCUCGGGUGCUCCUCAGCUUGUCAUCAGGGAGGAAGCAGCCAUCUCCUGCGAUGACUGACUUCAAGCCUCAACUUUCCCACAGCUUCUCAAAAGCCAAGGCUGAGGCCAAGUUCUAGCUGCUGCCUUGGGACAGGUCAAGGGCCUCCUGCAAUCUCAUGCAUAAACUGGUACCCAUGA